AGAGUACUUGUUUUACCCGCCAUCUGUCAAUAGAGAUUGACAAAUUACCGUGCUUGAAAAAUUGCAUGUAAAAACUACAAGACUUGGGAUAUUGCUUUAUUGUAUAGCUCAUAUAUCAGAGGUUACUCGUUUCACUGAGGUAAUUCUAGGUAAAUCAACCAUUUUACAUGGAAAGAAUGCAGUGCUGUAAUGGAAUCAGGUAGAGAACAGUAUUAAGCAGAACCAUGUCAGCAUUGGUUGUUAUAUUCCUCAUUUCAUUGAUACCAUUUCCCCUGUGUUAUAUUCUAAACACUCAACAAUGGAUGCAGGAACCAGUGGUGAUAUUAGUUGUUGGUGUGGUAGUGUUGUCAUUGAUUGUGCUAGUUCCCUUUCUUCUAGUGAGGCGUAUGAAGAAACCAGAGUUUAUUUUAUAUGUAAUGGGUCUUUUCAUGUUCAGUAGUAUAAUUGACCUAAUUAUUGCCCUGGAGGCCGAUGGUUUAAUACCGGAGGUGAUGACAUUUAU